AAGGUUAAGCCUCACGGUUCAUUAGUACCGGUUAGCUCAACGCAUCGCUGCGCUUACACACCCGGCCUAUCAACGUCGUCGUCUUCAACGUUCCUUCAGGACUCUCAAGGAGUCAGGGAGAACUCAUCUCGGGGCAAGUUUCGUGCUUAGAUGCUUUCAGCACUUAUCUCUUCCGCAUUUAGCUACCGGGCAGUGCCAUUGGCAUGACAACCCGAACACCAGUGAUGCGUCCACUCCGGUCCUCUCGUACUAGGAGCAGCCCCCCUCAAUUCUCCAGCGCCCACGGCAGAUAGGGACCGAACUGUCUCACGACGUUCUAAACCCAGCUCGCGUACCACUUUAAAUGGCGAACAGCCAUACCCUUGGGACCUACUUCAGCCCCAGGAUGUGAUGAGCCGACAUCGAGGUGCCAAACACCGCCGUCGAUAUGAACUCUUGGGCGGUAUCAGCCUGUUAUCCCCGGAGUACCUUUUAUCCGUUGAGCGAUGGCCCUUCCAUUCAGAACCACCGGAUCACUAUGACCUGCUUUCGCACCUGCUCGCGCCGUCACGCUCGCAGUCAAGCUGGCUUAUGCCAUUGCACUAACCUCCUGAUGUCCGACCAGGAUUAGCCAACCUUCGUGCUCCUCCGUUACUCUUUAGGAGGAGACCGCCCCAGUCAAACUACCCACCAGACACUGUCCGCAACCCGGAUUACGGGUCAACGUUAGAACAUCAAACAUUAAAGGGUGGUAUUUCAAGGUCGGCUCCAUGCAGACUGGCGUCCACACUUCAAAGCCUCCCACCUAUCCUACACAUCAAGGCUCAAUGUUCAGUGUCAAGCUAUAGUAAAGGUUCACGGGGUCUUUCCGUCUUGCCGCGGGUACACUGCAUCUUCACAGCGAGUUCAAUUUCACUGAGUCUCGGGUGGAGACAGCCUGGCCAUCAUUACGCCAUUCGUGCAGGUCGGAACUUACCCGACAAGGAAUUUCGCUACCUUAGGACCGUUAUAGUUACGGCCGCCGUUUACCGGGGCUUCGAUCAAGAGCUUCGCUUGCGCUAACCCCAUCAAUUAACCUUCCGGCACCGGGCAGGCGUCACACCGUAUACGUCCACUUUCGUGUUUGCACAGUGCUGUGUUUUUAAUAAACAGUUGCAGCCAGCUGGUAUCUUCGACUGAUUUCAGCUCCAUCCGCGAGGGACUUCACCUACAUAUCAGCGUGCCUUCUCCCGAAGUUACGGCACCAUUUUGCCUAGUUCCUUCACCCGAGUUCUCUCAAGCGCCUUGGUAUUCUCUACCUGACCACCUGUGUCGGUUUGGGGUACGAUUUGAUGUUACCUGAUGCUUAGAGGCUUUUCCUGGAAGCAGGGCAUUUGUUGCUUCAGCACCGUAGUGCCUCGUCAUCACGCCUCAGCCUUGAUUUUCCGGAUUUGCCUGGAAAACCAGCCUACACGCUUAAACCGGGACAACCGUCGCCCGGCCAACAUAGCCUUCUCCGUCCCCCCUUCGCAGUAACACCAAGUACAGGAAUAUUAACCUGUUUCCCAUCGACUACGCCUUUCGGCCUCGCCUUAGGGGUCGACUCACCCUGCCCCGAUUAACGUUGGACAGGAACCCUUGGUCUUCCGGCGAGCGGGCUUUUCACCCGCUUUAUCGUUACUUAUGUCAGCAUUCGCACUUCUGAUACCUCCAGCAUGCCUCACAGCACACCUUCGCAGGCUUACAGAACGCUCCCCUACCCAACAACGCAUCAGCGUCGCUGCCGCAGCUUCGGUGCAUGGUUUAGCCCCGUUACAUCUUCCGCGCAGGCCGACUCGACCAGUGAGCUAUUACGCUUUCUUUAAAUGAUGGCUGCUUCUAAGCCAACAUCCUGGCUGUCUGGGCCUUCCCACAUCGUUUCCCACUUAACCAUGACUUUGGGACCUUAGCUGGCGGUCUGGGUUGUUUCCCUCUUCACGACGGACGUUAGCACCCGCCGUGUGUCUCCCGUGAUAACAUUCUCCGGUAUUCGUAGUUUGCAUCGGGUUGGUAAGUCGGGAUGACCCCCUUGCCGAAACAGUGCUCUACCCCCGGAGAUGAAUUCACGAGGCGCUACCUAAAUAGCUUUCGGGGAGAACCAGCUAUCUCCCGGUUUGAUUGGCCUUUCACCCCCAGCCACAAGUCAUCCGCUAAUUUUUCAACAUUAGUCGGUUCGGUCCUCCAGUUAGUGUUACCCAACCUUCAACCUGCCCAUGGCUAGAUCACCGGGUUUCGGGUCUAUACCCUGCAACUUAACGCCCAGUUAAGACUCGGUUUCCCUUCGGCUCCCCUAUUCGGUUAACCUUGCUACAGAAUAUAAGUCGCUGACCCAUUAUACAAAAGGUACGCAGUCACCCCAUAAAGAGGCUCCCACUGCUUGUACGUACACGGUUUCAGGUUCUUUUUCACUCCCCUCGCCGGGGUUCUUUUCGCCUUUCCCUCACGGUACUGGUUCACUAUCGGUCAGUCAGGAGUAUUUAGCCUUGGAGGAUGGUCCCCCCAUAUUCAGACAGGAUACCACGUGUCCCGCCCUACUCAUCGAGCUCACAGCAUGUGCAUUUUUGUGUACGGGGCUGUCACCCUGUAUCGCGCGCCUUUCCAGACGCUUCCACUAACACACACACUGAUUCAGGCUCUGGGCUGCUCCCCGUUCGCUCGCCGCUACUGGGGGAAUCUCGGUUGAUUUCUUUUCCUCGGGGUACUUAGAUGUUUCAGUUCCCCCGGUUCGCCUCAUUAACCUAUGGAUUCAGUUAAUGAUAGUGUGACGAAUCACACUGGGUUUCCCCAUUCGGAAAUCGCCGGUUAUAACGGUUCAUAUCACCUUACCGACGCUUAUCGCAGAUUAGCACGUCCUUCAUCGCCUCUGACUGCCAGGGCAUCCACCGUGUACGCUUAGUCGCUUAA
rnacentral:rRNA from 1 species